UAUCGAAGAUGAACGAACUGGUACUCUUUAAUUACCAUGAUUAUAUGCCGGGGAGAAAUUAUUUGAGGAAUUAUCAUGCCGAGUUUGUGUAUACAUUUAUAUAUAUAUCCUUUCUCAUUUAAUGUAAAUACAUGUGUGUUGAAGGAUGGGCCAACAUUGUAAAAUUUGGACAGAAAUUAAGACGCAAGCAUAAGAACUACAUUGUAUUUUAGUCUGAAUAGAUGUGUCCCUACGGAGGCAGCUAACAGAAAGUGGGAUAUAAUUAAGAUUGAAUUGUGAAUUUGCUCUGUGUCACCUCUAAAUGGCAGAAGAAAACUCAACUCAGCACAACCAGAAACACUUUUCUGAAGAAAAUUCUGCCAAGAGACAGUUGUGAGGGGAAUUGUGUAGAUAAUCUCCAGAAAAGAAAUCAACACUGAUAUUGGGAUGUAUGUACCAAUAUUUUACAAUCAUCAAAGACAAAUUUACCGCAGGAAUAAAAAAAAUUGUCUGGCGUUCAAGGACUUGCCAUGGUGGAAGCUCUCCUGAAAAAAUAUUCCAUUUAUUGUGGACAUCAUGACAUAGGGCUCACCUGUCAUCAGCAUUAGAGACUUAUGUGAUUUGUUCUACCUGGGCCAUACAUGUAUUGAAUGAAAACAAUUCAUAGAACCACAAGCACAUUGUAAAUCUAUGUAAGGUCUUCUAUGUAUGUUGCAUCCUUAUUUAAUUAGCUGUUUUAUAACAAGACUUUGUUUCAUUGGUACUAAAACUUAAUACACACAAAAAACCAAAAA